rnacentral:rRNA from 1 species
UACGGAGGGUGCAAGCGUUGUCCGGAUUUAUUGGGUUUAAAGGGUGCGUAGGCGGCCCCUUAAGUCAGUGGUGAAAGCCCGCGGCUCAACCGCGGAACUGCCAUUGAUACCGGGGGGGCUUGAGUACAGACGAGGUAGGCGGAAUUGAAGAUGUAGCGGUGAAAUGCUUAGAUAUCUUCAAGAACACCGAUUGCGUAGGCAGCUUACUAGGCUGUAACUGACGCUGAGGCACGAAAAGCGUGGGGGAGCGAAACAGGG